rnacentral:lncRNA from 1 species
UGAACGACCCUGUAAAAAUCCACUCGGCGAACCAGCACGAGUGUAAAUACAUUCUAAACUACCUGGAGUACUCGUCUCGAAGAAACUGCGACAGUACAAUUUUCUGACGGCUCCUAGAGCUAAAUCAGGUAGUUAAAACUGGUGACAGGUCCAAAUCGCAAGUUUUCUCCUAAUUCAAUUUCCAAGUCCAACAUGUAUAAUCUAAUUACUUAAUAAAAUAUGCUCGCAAAUUCAGAUUUUGCAUUCUAAUAAUAAUCCAUGAAUUUGAGCUAAACUAUUGUAGAAAUCACGAUUUAUACAUGUCGACUAAUAAUACUUAGGAGUAAAACCGAUGUAACCCACCUAAAGUGCUAUUUCCUGGCAGCAAACGAAGCCUCGGCCUAGAAGGAACUCUGCUGGAUCAAUCGGGGAUCUCCAAGUCCGGUCGCCAAGCCAACGCCAAGCUAAGACGACAAAAGUCCACAAUUCAGUCCCCGUUCAUAGCAGCUGAGAAAGGUUCAGUUUCGACCAAGCUAACCUUGUCCAAAAAUUGUAAAUGAGGGCUCUGUGGAAUCCUCUCGCAGUCUAGAAUCCAAUGAACCAAGUUUCGUCGCGAUCCGACGCUCCUACGCGGAGAACGAGCCGAAAUACUAACAGUCGACGCAGGAAAUCUGUGAAAAUCAGCACAUUGCUCGGUUUGAAGAUGGUUGAGGUACUCGAGGUAAUUGCGACCAAAUUACCUACCUCAACAGCGAUGAACAGCGGUGCGGCGACAGGAACGGCGAAGACGCACCCUCGCCCGGCCUCCUCGCAGCGCCCCGGCAACACGUGUGCUCGAACGGCUCGCGGCGCGACGUCGGCGACGAAGUCCUCAACCGUGCUCACGAUCGGCCUAGAGAGAGAGAGAGGGAGAGGAGAUGGUGAAAACUCUCUCUCUCUCAGCCCAAUCCACAGAUAAAUAGAGAGAGGGAAAGAGGGUGACAUGAACGAGGUGGAAUUUUACUGAUUUAGCCCUCCACCAACUCCCUUGUACCGGUACACGGAUUGCUGUACCGGUACAAGGCCAAACCCGAGAGCAUCUGAGUUCUGUCGCACGCUCUGUACCGGUACAAAUGGCCCCUUGUACCGGUACAGCAAGCGUCUUUCCAUGAUGGUUGUACCGGUACAGCACAACCUUGUACCGGUACAACAGAGUAAAAAUCCUGCAAUUUCGCAGAUUUUCACACAGAAUGCUGCCCUCGCGUCAAACGGAGUCCGUUUCGCGUCUAUUUGACGCCAACGCAACUCGGGCUUGUCUCGACACUCUCCAGAGCUGUCGACAAGUCCCCACUGACAGAAACUGGGUCUCACACCCUCCCCCUCUACAAAGAGUUUCGUCCGCGAAACUGGAACGUACCUCAACUCAGGACUCGAACAAGUAGGGGUAGGCCUCCCUCAUCACCGUCUCGGGCUCCCAAGUCGCCUCCCGCUCCUCAUGAUUGCUCCACUGCACCUUUACAUACGGGAUGUCCCGAUUGCGCAAUUCUUUCGUCUCCCGAGCAAGAAUCCGCAACGGUCGCUCCUCAUAUCUCAGAUCCUCACCAAUCUCAAGUGGAGUGAAGUCAAUCACGUGGGAGGGAUCAAACACAUAUUUCCUCAAAGCCGAGACGUGGAACACAUCAUGAAUGCCGGCUAGCCGUGGUGGUAGAGCAAUCCUGUAAGCAACUGGCCCGACUCGCUCCAAUACCUCGAAAGGGCCUACAAAACGUGGACUAAGUUUUCCACGUACACCAAAUCGGCGAAUCCCUCUGGACGGCGAGACUUUAAGAAAAACAUGAUCUCCCACCUGGAACUCCAAGUCUCGUCUCCGUGUAUCGGCGUAGCUCCUCUGUCGACUCUGGGCUGCUAAGAUGUGCCGGCGUACCUCUUUUACCUUUUCCUCAGCCUCAAUCAGAAUCUCAGGCCCAAGCGUCUUCCUUUCACCCACAUCACUCCAAAACAAAGGGGAUCGGCAUCUGCGUCCAUACAACGCCUCAAACGGAGCCAUCCGAAUGCUCGCUUGAUAGCUGUUGUUGUACGCAAACUCAACCAGUCUCAAAUGCCGAUACCACCCUCCUCCAAAGUCCAAGACACAUGCCCUCAGCAUGUCCUCUAGAGUCUGAAUGGUCCUCUCUGACUGACCAUCUGUCUGUGGGUGAAACGCCGUGCUGAAAUGCAACUGAGUGCCCAAGGCUGUCUGAAGACUCCUCCAGAAGUGCGAUACGAACCUCGGGUCCCGGUCAGGAUACUAUCGAAGUGGGCACGCCAUGCAACCUCACUAUCUCAUCCAAGUACAACUGAGCGAGUCUCUCUCUGGACCAAGUGGUCUGCACUGGUAGGAAGUGAGCAGACUUGGUCAGUCUGUCCACUAUCACCCAAAUCGCAUCAAAACCACCCUGUGCUCUCGGCAAUCCGACGACAAAGUCCAUCGUGAUCUGCUCCCAUUUCCACUCGGGCACUGGUAGACUCUGAAGCUUGCCAGCAGGUACCUGAUGCUCGGCCUUUACCUGUUGACAAGUCAGACACUGAGCCACAAAUCUACCAAUGUCCCUCUUCAUUCCAUUCCACCAAAACUGAGCCUUUAAAUCCUUAUACAUUUUGGUUCCACCGGGGUGAACCGUAUAAGGUGAACAGUGAGCCUCUCUCAAGAUGUCCUCUCGGAUCUCUGAAUCCAUAGGUACACACAGUCGGUCCCUGUACCGCAGUACUCCCGAACUGUCCACAACAAAGCCCUCGGCCUGUCCCCUCUCAAGCUGCUCUCGAAUCCUCGACAAGUGUGGAUCCCCACUCUGUUUCUCUCGAAUCCUGUCCAACAGAGUGGGCUGUAAGAUCAUAGACGUCAAUCUCGCAGUAAACCCAGGAGACACUACCUCGAGUCCCAGCCGUCUCAGCUCCUCGAGUAACGGUCUCUGCCGAGUGAUCAACAUACUCAAGCUCUGCACUGCCUUCCUGCUCAACGCAUCUGCCACCACAUUCGCCUUGCCGGGAUGAUACUGGAUACUGAUGUCAUAAUCCUUCAGCAACUCCAACCACCGGCGCUGUCUCAAAUUCAACUCCUUUUGGGUGAACAGAUACUUGAGACUUUUAUGAUCAGUAAAAAUCUCGCAGUGCUCGCCGUACAAGUAAUGCCGCCAGAGCUUCAAAGCAAAAACCACCGCUGCAAGCUCCAAGUCAUGCGUAGGGUAAUUCUGCUCAUAAUCCUUUAACUGCCGUGAAGCAUAAGCAAUCACCCUACCAUGCUGCAUCAGUACGCAACCAAGUCCACUGUGCGAUGCAUCACUGUAGAUCACAAAUCCUUCGCCCAUAACAGGAAGGGCAAGGAUAGGAGCCGACAUCAACCUCAAUCUCAACUCAUCAAAGCUCCUCUGACAGUCGUCGCUCCAGACAAAACGAAUCCCCUUCCGCGUCAAGCGCGUGAGGGGUGUGGAAAGCUUCGCAAAGCCUUCCACAAACCGACGGUAAUAUCCUGCCAGUCCAAGGAAACUCCUCACCUCAGUAACCGUCGUCGGUCUAGGCCAAUCUCGAAUCGCCUCAAUCUUCUUCGGGUCCACUGCUACGCCCUCAGCUGAAAUCACAUGACCCAAGAAAGCAACCUCCCGUAGCCAGAACUCGCACUUCUUUAACUUGGCAUACAACUUCUUCUUGCGCAGAAGCUGUAGCACAAUCCUCAAGUGCUCCUCAUGCUCAGCAUCACUCCGGGAGUAAAUCAGGAUAUCGUCGAUGAAGACUACCACAAACCUAUCCAAGAACGGCUUGAACACUCUAUUCAUCAAAUCCAUGAAUGCGGCAGGGGCAUUCGUCAAUCCAAAAGGCAUCACCGUGAACUCAUAAUGCCCGUACCGAGUCCGAAAAGCCGUCUUGGGAACAUCCUCGGCCCUCACCCUCAGCUGGUGGUAACCUGACUGGAGAUCAAUCUUCGAAAAGACACAAGAUCCUUGCAGCUGAUCGAAUAGAUCAUCAAUGCGCGGCAGAGGAUACUUGUUCUUGAUGGUCACUUUAUUCAGCUCCCGGUAAUCCACACAUAACCUGAGCGAACCAUCCUUCUUCUUUACAAAUAACACCGGCGCUCCCCAAGGCGACACACUGGGUCUCACAAACCCUCUAUCCAUCAGAUCCUGAAGUUGCGCCUUUAGCUCUCUCAGCUCUGCCGGUGCCAUCCUGUAAGGUACCUUUGAGAUUGGUGCAGUUCCAGGAACUACAUCAAUCACAAACUCAAUCUCCCUCUCCGGCGGCAACGUCGUCAACUCAGGGGGAAACACAUCCGAAAACUCGCGGACUACUGGGAUGUCCUCGAGUCUCGGCGCCGCCGUAGGUACCUCCACAACUGUCGCUAGGAAAGCGAUACACCCACUGCUCAGCAUCUGUCGAGCCCUCGCCGAAGAUAUCCAGGUGGCAAACAGCGUGCUCCUGCAGCCUCUGAAAGUAAACUCCUCCUGGCCUGGCUCGCGGAACGUCACCGUCCUCGCUCCACAGUCGAUCGUAGCAUAGUACCGCGCCAGCCAAUCCAUACCGAGCACUACGUCGAAGUCCUGUAGCUGCCCUAACACCAACAGGUCUGCGGGCAUGACCCAAGAGUCUAACUGCACCGGACAGGACCAACAACACUCCGUAACCUGCAAGACAUGGUCGGAGGAUCUGCACCUCUCGUGCCUGAGACAACGCUCCUAACUCUAGACCAUGCAAUAAUGCAAAUGCUCGGCUAACAAAGGAAUGUGAUGCACCGGUAUCAAAAAGAGUGCGAACUCUAAUGCCAGAAAUCAAAGUGAUACCUGCCACCACUCGGUCGGCUGCUGAAGAGUCCUCCACCUGAGCUGCAUAGACCCUACCACUCGGAGCCUGCUGUCGCCGCUCACCCGACCGCGGCACAGACGAUCUGUCCUCCUGGCGGUAGCUCGGUGCUGCUCCAUAAGACUGCUGUGGUGCUGGUGGUGCCGAAGCUGAUGACGGUGCUGGAGAUGCUGCUCGGGGACACGCUGCCCUCAUGUGCCCCGGCUGACCACAUCCGUAGCACCUGCCCUCUCUAUGCUCGCACUGCCGAGGCCAGUGUGGUCCCCCGCAGAUCACACACUGUGGCGUCCUCUGAGUCUGCCCCUGCUGACGGGAUCCCCUGGAACGCUGACGCCCCGAAGACCCACGACCCUGAGAACGUGAUCGUGGAGGUCUCGGCGGACGUCUGCUGCUCGACUGCCCUCCGUCAUCUGGAAAGGGGCGCUUCCUGUCCUGACCCUGCCCCACGGCCUGAGUCCUCUCCUGCAGUGACACCUCGCCUCUCUCCACCCAUAGGGCCUGCUCUAUGGACGCAUCCAGGGUCCUCGACCUCUGCGCCCGCACUAACCUGAAGAUAUCCGGUCUCAGCCCCUGCUCGAACAUGUAUACUCGGUGCGCCUCGUCUCUGGCCACAAAUGGUACACAGUUCAGGAGUCGAGUAAACUCCCGAACGUACUCCUGCACUGGGCGAUCUCCCUGCUGAAGCCUCCUCAAGUCCUCCUCGAGCUUCUGCUUCACACUGUUGGGAAAGAACAUCCCAAACAGCAUUCCACAGAACUCGUCCCAACUCAGCUGCGCCGCCACUAGCCCCUGGUCUCGCCUCGUCCUCCGCCACCAGUCAUGAGCAUCACCUGCUAGACAGUGUACUCCCAGGGGUACCUGCUCCCCCUCUGGAACGAACAGAUCCUCAAAUAACUUCUCCAUCGCACUGACCCAUCCCUCAACAAUCCAGGCCUCAGUGCCUCUGCCAUCGAAGAUCGGUGGAUCAAAUCGGCGAAAACGAGCUAACCUCUCCGUCCACCGCUCCUGCUCGGCCUCAGUCAACGGUACUGGCCCCCUAGCAGGCGCAACUGGCGCUACUGGAACGGCUGCUGAUGGAGGAACUGCCGCAGCUGGUGCUGACACUGGAGUAAUCGGGGGUGGAACUGGCGACUCUGGUGCCCUCGGUACACAACUCGGUGGCUGAGCUAUCCUCUCACACAACCUCUGCAAUAGCUCCCCCUGCUGUCUCGUCACCUCGGUCAGGGCAGCUAACUGUGCACUCAGAUCAGGGGGUGCGCUAGUCUCUGGUCGCGCACUCGGCUCCACAAUAGGGGGUACACUCGCCCCCAGUCCGUCACCCUGCUCCUGUCGAGUACUCUGCUCCAUCUGCUCAGAUCUCUCAGAAGGUCCAGCAUGAUCCCGCGCCAACUGGGCGCGCUCCCGCAACGACGGUCGACCUCGGCGACGAUACAUAGCUGAAAGGAACAAAUCAGGGUCAGAUACAACGCAACACUCUCGACCCAAUCAACGAAAGUCUAGAAGGCGGUCCCUGUUUUCCUCCAAAAUUAUGUCGUCUGCAGCCAACAUAAUUUCUCAGGCCAAAACAGAAACUCCUUCAGUCACUCACUCUACUCCAAGAGGAGUUAAAACAUAUAAUCAUUGACUUUCGCAAUAAAAUUACGCCUCUCACGUCUUGCUUCCCUAAGGUUUGCCAAACUUAGGUUUCCUAGGUCCCAACGACCUUCAGCAAAGCUCUGAUACCAACUUAAUCUGUCACGCCCCGGAUGUCUCGUUCCCCGGGCACGCCGACAAAUCCGCCGUAUACAAAGGAAUUUCCCCUGUAUACGAAGCGUCAAAAGUACCUGUAAAUAUACAAUACUACAAACAGUAGCAUAGAGCUGCUCAAUAUACAAAGCUAAACAACUGAGUUUCAUAUACAUAGUCCAAAUCCAAAAUACAAAGCUACUCGCACCGGCGAGUUAAACAACUAUGUACAUAAACUCUAAAAUAGCAACUACCUGCAGUAGGGGGGUGCCUCUAGCUCUGUCAGUCGGGUAGGGCUCUACCUCGCGACGCCCUUGCCUCGAUCCUGAUCCGCGGAAGGCGCAGUAGCCGAAACCUGUGGCUCUGCAAAACAUAGGUAACAACUGGGCGUGAGAACUACUGUAAAAACAAGUAGUCCUCAGUGGGUACCGCCCAAAACGACAUCGGUCACCCACUAAGUCUACAGAAGGGAGCAAGGAUAGAAGGAAAAGCAGGAAGUACACUCUAUCGCUAUCAUCCACUACACUAUCAUGCUCUACAUUAACCGACUGUAGGAAAUGUCAAAUCUGACCCAAUCCAAUUGGGACUGUAAACAUACCCGUCCCUGGGACUGUGAACACACCCGUCCCUGCCCCGUUGCGACUAUCAGGCUCUAUCCACACUAGCUGGUCUGUGGAGAGCAAGUCCAACUGGCAUGAGCGACACCAACGCAAAAGCACAAGCCUGACUCCGGAGUGGCGCUCGUGGGCGCUACCCAACCGAGUAUGCAGCGUAUCUCUGUCGAGCUCAAUCAGGCUCCAACUAUCCAAAGUCAAGUAAUCGACUCAAACUGGCCUAACAACCAACAGGUAACGUGCCCUCGGCACAGUCUGACGCCAAAAAGACGAUACGGGUCCACCGUCAACUCUGACGGCACCCAACAGUCCGGAACAACCUGAACGACCCUGUAAAAAUCCACUCGGCGAACCAGCACGAGUGUAAAUACAUUCUAAACUACCUGGAGUACUCGUCUCGAAGAAACUGCGACAGUACAAUUUUCUGACGGCUUCUAGAGCUAAAUCAGGUAGUUAAAACUGGUGACAGGUCCAAAUCGCAGGUUUUCUCCUAAUUCAAUUUCCAAGUCCAACAUGUAGAAACUAUUUAAUUUAAAUAUGCCAUGCUCUAAAUUCAGAAUUACCAACAAUAAUUAAAUCCACGAAUUCGAGCUAGAAAAGGCUAUAGCAACAAUCAACAUUUAUACAUGUCGACGAUUAGAACUUAGGAGUCAAAACCGAUGUAACCCACCUAAAGUGCUAUCUCCUGGCAGCAAACGAAGCCUCGGCCUAAAAGGAACUCUGCUGGAUCAAUCGGGGAUCUCCAAGUCCGGUCGCCAAGCCAACGCCAAGCUAAAAUGACAAAAGUCCACAAUUCAGUCCCCGUUCACAGCAGCUGAGAAGAGCAUGAUUUCGACCAUGCUAACCUUGACCAAAAAUUGCAAGUGAGGGCUCCGUGGAAUCCUCUCGCAGUCUAGAAUCCAAUGAACCAAGUUUCGUCGCGAUCCGACGCUCCUACGCGGAGAACGAGCUGAAAUACUAACAGUCGACGGUAGAUUCUGCGAAAACAGCACUUAAGCUCAAAUCAACGAUACCCGAAGUACUCGGAGCAAUUGCGACCAAAAUUCUCACCUCAACAGCGACAAUUCUUCGGCGCGAUGUCCAGGACGGCGAAGACGCACCCUCGCCCGGCCUCUUCGCAAUGCCCCGGUAACAAACGCUCGCUCGAACGGCUCGCGGCGCGACGUCGGCGAAUCCCCGGCUCAACCGUGCUCCACCUCCACCAAGCUUAGAGAGAGAGAAAGAAGAAAGCACAAAAGCCUUCUCUCUCUUCCUCUGCUCGGUUUCCAACUGAUAUAUCGAGAGAGGGAAGGAAUCGUUACAAACGAGGGAGAGAAAAGACCCAAAUGCCCCCUCACCUACUCUGGUGUACCGGUACACGGGACUCUGUACCGGUACACAUGCCAACCCGAGAGCAGUCUGCGAUGGUUGUACCGGUACAGCCACUAAGCUUGUACCGGUACAGCAAGCAGAGAAUGCUGCAGUUUUGCAAAUUUCUGGAAAAACUCGCUAUAAGCUGCCCUCGCGUCGCACGGAGUCCGUUUUACAUCUAUUUGACGCCAACGCGACUCGGGCUUGUCCCGACACUCUCCAGAGCUGUCGACAAGCCUCCACAGACAAACACCAGGGAUCUCACAUCCUCCCCCUCUACAAAAAGUUUCGUCCGCGAAACUGAAAACGUACCUCAAACUCAGAGCAUCGAACAAGUAGGGGUAGGCCUCCCUCAUCACCGUCUCGGGCUCCCAAGGUCGCCUCCCGCUCCUCGUGAUUGACUCCACUGCACUUUCACAUACGGAAUGACCCGGUUGCGCAAUUCUUUCGUCUUCUCGAGCAAGAAUUCGCAACCGGUCGCUUCCUCGUAUCGCAGAGUCCUCACCAAUCUCCAAGUGGAGUGAAGUCAAUCACGUGGGAGGGGUCCGAAACACGUAUCCUCCUCAAAGCCGAGACGUGGAAAAACGUCAUGAAUGGACUGGCGAGCAAGUCGCGGUGGUAGCGCUAAUCCUGUAAGGCGAACCGGUCCAACUACGCUCCAAUACCUCAAAAGGGCCCAACAAAACGCGUGGACUGAGCUUUCCACGUACUCCAAAUCUGCGUAAUCCCUUCUGGGACGGCGAGACUUUAAGAAAAACAUGGUCUCCAACCUGAAACUCUAAGUCUCGUCUCCGGGUAUCGGCGUAACUCCUCUGUCGGCUCUGGGCUGUCAAAAGAUGUCGUCCGAACGAGCUCUGAAUCUUUUCCUUCAGCCUCCUACCAGAAAUCUCUGGUCCCUAGAGUGUUCCUCCUCUUCACCCACAUCGCUCCAAAACAAGGGGGAUCGACACCUGCGCCCAUACAACGCCUCAAACGGAGCCAUCUGGAAUGCUCGCUUUGAUAGCUGUUGUUGUACGCAAACUUCAACCAGUUUCACAAUAUCGAUGCCACCCUUCCUCCAAAAUCCAGGACGCACGCUCUCAGCAUGUCCUCAAGAGUCUGAAUGGUCCGCUCUGACUGACCAUCUGUCUGUGGGUGGAAACGCCGUGCUGAAAUGCAACUGAGUGCCCAAGGCUGUCUGUAAGACUCCUCCAAAACUGAGAUACAAACCUCGGGUCCCUGUCUGAAACUAUCGACAAUCAGGCACGCCGUGCAGCCUAACAAUCUCGUCCAAGAUACAGGCUGCGCUAACCUCUCUCCUGGACCAAGGUAGGUCUGAACCGGUAGGAAGUGGGCAGACUUGGUCAGUCUGUCUACUAAUCACCCAAAUUGCAUCGAUAAGCCACCCUGCGCUCUCGGCAAUCCCCACGACAAAGUCCAUCGUGAUCUGCUCCCAUUUCCACUCGGGCACUGGUAGACUCUGAAGCUUGCCAGCAGGUACCUGAUGCUCGGCCUUUACCUGUUGACAAGUCAGAACACUGAGCCACAAAUCUACCAAUGUCCCUCUUCAUUCCAUUCCACCAAAAGUGAGCCUUUAAAUCCUUAUACAUUUUGGUUCCACCGGGGUGAACCGUAUAAGGUGAGUACAGUGAGCCUCUCUCAAAAUGUCCUCUCGGAUCUCCUGAAUCCAUAGGUACACACAGUCGGUCCCUGUACCGCAGUACUCCCGAACUGUCCACAGCAAAAAGCCUCAGCCUGCCCCCUGUCUAGCUGCUCUCUAAUCCUCAACAAAUGACGAAUCCUCCACUCUGUUUUUCUCCUGAUCCUAUCCAACAGAGUGGGCUGUAAAACCAUAGAGUCGUCAGCCUCGCCGUAGACCCAGGGGACACUAUCUCGAGUCCCAGCCGCUGUAGCUCCUCGAAGUUAACGGCCUCUGCGGAGUGAAUCAACAUACUCAAGCUCUUGCACUGCCUUCCUGCUCAACGCAUCUGCCACCACAUUCGCCUUGCCGGGAUGAUACUGAAUACUAAUGUCAUAAUCCUUCAGCAACUCCAACCACCGGCGCUUGUCCUCAAAUUCAACUCCUUUUUGGGUGAACAGAUACUUGAGACUUUUAUGAUCAAGUAAAAAUCCUCGCAGUGCUCGCCGUACAAGGUAAUGCCGCCAGAGCUUCAAAGCAAAGACCACCGCGGCAAGCUCCAAGUCAUGCGUAGGGUAAUUCUUCUCAUAAUCCUUUAACUUGCCGUGAAAGCAUAAGCAAUCACCCUACCAUGCUGCAUCAGCACGCAACCCAAGUCCACUGUGCGAUGCAUCACUGUAGAAUCACAAAUCCUUCGCCCAUAACAGGAAAGGGCAAGGAUAGGAGCCGACAUCAACCUCAAUCUCAACUCAUCAAAGCUCCUCUGAACAGUCGUCGCAUCCAGACAAAACGAAUCCCCUUCCGCGUCAAGCGCGUGAGGGGUGUGGAAAGCUUCGCAAAGCCUUCCACAAACCGACGGUAAUAUCCUGCCAGUCCCAGGAAACUCCUCACCUCAGUCACCGUCGUCGGUCUGGGCCAAUCUUUAAUCGCCUCAAUCUUCUUCGGGUCCACUGCUACGCUAACUACAGAAAUCACGUGGCCCAAGAAAGCAACCUCCCGUAGCCAGAACUCGCACUUCUUUAACUUGGCAUACAACUUCUUCUCGCCUCAGAAGCUUGUAGCACAAUCCUCAAGUGCUCCUCAUGCUCGACAUCACUCCGGGAGUAAAUCAAGAUAUCGUCGAAUGAAGACUAACCACAAACCUAUCCAAGAACGGCUUGAACACUCUGUUCAUCAAAUCCAUGAAAUGCGGCAGGGGCAUUCGUCAAUCCAAAAGGCAUCACCGUGAAACUCAUAAUGCCCGUACCGAGUCCGAAAAGCCGUCUUGGGAACAUCCUCGGCCCUCACCCUCAGCUGGUGGUAACCUGACUGGAGAUCAAUCUUCGAAAAGACACAAGAUCCUUGCAGCUGAUCGAAACAGAUCAUCAAUGCGCGGCAGAAGGAAUACUUGUUCUUGAUGGUUACUUUAUUCAGCUCCCGGUAAUCCACACAUAACCUGAAGCGAACCAUCCUUCUUCUUUACAAAUAAUACCGGCGCUCCCCAAGGCGACACACUGGGUCUCACAAACCCUCUUAUCCAUCAGAUCCUGAAGUUGCGCCUUUAGCUCUCUCAGCUCUGCCGGUGCCAUCCUGGUGAGGGUACCUUUGAGAUUUGGUGCAGUUCCAGGAACUACAUCAAUCACAAACUCAAUCUCUCUCUCCGGCGGCAAUCGUCGUCAACUCAAGGGGGGAAACACAUCCGAAAACUCGCGAACUUACUGGGAAUGUCCUCGAGUCUCCGGCGCCGCCGUAGGUAACCUCCACAACUGUCGCUAGGAAAAGCGAUACACAUCCACUGCUCAGCAUCUGUCGAGCCCUCGCCGAAGAUAAUCCAGGUGGCAAACAGCGUACUCCUUGCAGCCUCUGAAAAGUAAACUCCUCCUGGCCUGGCUCGCGGAACGUCACCGAUCCUCGCUCCACAGUCGAAUCGUAGCAUAGUACCGCGCCAGCCAAUCCAUACCGAGCACUACGUCGAAAGUCCUGCAGCUGCCCUAACACCAACAGGUCUGCGAGGCAUGAUCCAAGAGUCUAACUGCACCGGACAGGACCAACAACACUCUGUACCACCUGCAAGAGUAUGGUCGGGAAUCCUGCACCUCUCGUGCCCGAUGACAACGCUGGCCCUAACCUCUAGACCAUGCAACAAUGCAAAUGCUCGGCUAACAAAGGAAUGCGAAUGCACCGGUAUCGAAAAAGAGUGCGAACUCUAAUGCCAGAAAAUCAGAAAUGAUACCUGCCACCACUCGGUCGGCUGCUAAAGAGUCCUCCACCUGAGCUGCAUAGACCCUUACCACUCGGAGCCUGCCUGUCGCCGCUCACCCUUACCGCGGCACAGACGAUCUGUCCUCCUGGCGGUAGCUCGGUGCUGCUCCGUAAGACUGCUGUGGUGCUGGUGGUGCCGAAGCUGAUGACGGUGCUGGAGAUGCUGCUCGGGGACACGCUGCCCUCAUGAGUCCCGGCUGACCACAUCCAUAGCAUCGGCCCUCUCUAUGCUCACACUGCCGAGGCCAGUGUGGUCCCCCGCAGAUCACACACUGUGGCGUCCUCUGAGUCUGCCCCUGCUGACGGGAUCCCCUGGAACGCUGACGCCCCGAAGACCCACGACCCUGAGAACGUGAUCGUGGAGGUCUCGGCGGACGUCUGCUACUCGACUGCCCUCCGUCAUCUGGGAAGGGGCGCUUCCUGUCCUGACCCUGCCCCACGGCCUGAGUCCUCUCCUGCAGCGACACCUCGCCUCUCUCCACCCAUAAGGCCUGCUCUAUAGACGCAUCCAGGGUCCUCGACCUCUGCGCCCGCACUAACCAUGAAGAUGUCCGGUCUCAGCCCCUGCUCGAACAUGUAUACCCUGUGCGCCUCGUCUCUGGCCACAAAUGGUACACAGUUCAGGAGUCGAGUAAACUCCCUAAUGUACUCCUGCACUGGGCGAUCUCCCUGCUGAAGCCUCCUCAAGUCCUCCUCGAGCUUCUGCUUCACACUGUUGGGAAAGAACAUCCCAAACAGCAUUCCACAGAACUCGUCCCAACUCAGCUGUGCGACGCCACUAGCCCCUGUAGUCUCGCCUCGUCCUCCGCCACCAGUCAUGAGCAUCACCUGCUAGACAGUGUACUCCCAGGGUACCUGCUCCCCCUCUGGAACGAACAGAUCCUCAAUAACUUCUCCAUCGCACUGACCCAUCCCUCUACAAUCCAGGCCUCAGUGCCUCUGCCAUCGAAGAUCGGUGGAUCAAAACGGCGAAAACGAGCUAAGUCUCUCCGUCCACCGCUCCUGCUCAGCCUCAGUCAACGGUACUGGUGCCCCCUAGCAGGCUGCAACUGGCGCUACCGGAACUGCUGCUGAUGGAGGGUACUGCUGCAGCUGGUGCUGUCACUGGAGUAGUCGGGGGUGGAACUGGCGACUCUGGUGCCCUCAGUACAGAACUCAGUGCUGAGCUAUCCUCUCACACAACCUCUGCAAUAGCUCCCCCUGCUGUCUCGUCACCUCAGGUCAGGGCAGCCAACUGUGCACUCAGAUCAGGGGGUGCGCUAGUCCUCUGGUCGCGCACUCGGCUCCACAACAGGGGGUACACUCGCCCCCAGUCUGUCACCCUGCUCCUGUCGAGUACUCUGCUCCAUCUGCUCAGAUCUCUCAGAAGGUCCACAUGAUCCCGCGCCAACUAGGCGCGCUCCCGCAACAACGGUCGACCUCGGCGACGGUACAUAGCUGAAAGGAACAAAUCGGGGUCAGAUACAACGCAAAAACACUCUCGACCCAAUCAAGCGAAAGUCUAGAAGGCGGUCCCUGUUUCUCCUCCAAAAUUAUGUCGUCUGCAGCCAACAUAAUUUCUCAGGCCGAAACAGAAACUCCUUCAAUCACUCACUCUACUCCCAGAGGAGUUAGAACAUAUAAUCAUUGACUUUCGCAAUUAAAUCACGCCUCUCGCGUCUUGCUUUCCUAAGGUUUGCCAAACUUAGGUUUCCUAGGUCCCCACGACCUACAGCAAAGCUCUGAUACCAACUUAAUCUGUCACGCCCCGGAUUACACGUUCCCCGGGCACGCCGACAAAUCCGCCGUAUACAAAGAAAUUUUUCCUGUAUACGAAGCGAUAGCUGUACCUGUAAAUCAAACACUACUACGAACAGUAGUAGAGAGCUGCUAGAGAAAACUGAAGCUAAAUAAAACAGAGUUUCAUAUACAUAGUUCAGAUCCAAAAUACAGAGCUACUCGCACUGGCGAGUUAAGUCAACUAUGUACAUAAACUCGAAACAAAACGUCUACCUGUAGUAGGGCACCUCUAGCUCAGCACGUCGGGUAGGGCUCUAACUCGCGACGCCCUUGCCUCGAUCCAGGUCCGCAGACGGUGCAGCAGCCGAAACCUGUGGCUCUGCAAAAACAUAGGUAACAACUGGGCGUGAGAACUACUGUAAAAACAAGUAGUCCUCAGUGGUACCGCCCAAAACGACAUCGGUCACCCACUAAGUCUACAGAAGGGAGCAAGGAUAGAAGGAAAGCAGGAAGCAUACUCUACCGCUAUCAUCCACUACACUAUCAUGCUCUACACUAACCAACUGUAGGAAAUGUCAAAUCUGACCCAAUCCAAUCGGGACUGUAAGCAUACCCGUCCCCGGGACUGUAAAUACACCGUCCCUACCCCGUUGCGACUAUCGGGCUCUAUCCACACUAACUGGUCCGUGGAGAGCAAGUCCAACUGGCAUGAGCGACACCAACGCAAAAGCACAAGCCUGACUCCGGAGUGGCACUCGUGGGCGCUACCCAACCGAGUAUGCAGCGUAUCUCUGUCGAGCUCAAUCAGGCUCCAACUAGCCAAAGUCAAGUAAUCGACUCAAACUGGUCUAACAACCAACAGGUAACGUGCCCUCGGCACAAUCUGACGCCAAAAAGGCGAUACGGGUCCACCGUCAACUCUGACGGCACCCAACAGUCCGAAACACCUGAACGACCCUGUAAAAAUCCACUCGGCGAACCAGCACGAGUGUAAAUACAUUCUAAACUACCUGGAGUACUCGUAUCGAAGAAACUGCGACAGUACAAUUUUCUAACGGCUCCUAGAGCUAAAUCAGGUAGUUAAAACUGGUGACAGGUCCAAAUCGCAGGUUUUCUCCUAAUUCAAUUUCCAAGUCCAACAUGUAGAAACUAUUUAAUUUAAAUAUGCCAUGCUCCAAAUUCAGAAUUACCAACAAUAAUUAAAUCCACGAAUUCGAGCUAGAAAAGGCUAUAGCAACAAUCAACAUUUAUACAUGUCGACGAUUAGAACUUAGGAGUCAAAACCGAUGUAACCCACCU